UUGGCCCAAGUGAUAAAACUAAACCCUAAUAUGUCCUAACACACUCAUUCUCACUCUUCACAUAAUCAGUCGUCACUCCUUCUGCUUUGAGAGAGAGCUCUGCUAGGGUUCAGCCGCCUUUUCGCAUCCAGUGAGCUCGAACCAGUUUUUCCGCUUCUCUUCAUAAGCAUACCCCUAGAGCCGUGGUGUCCGUGGUUGCGAUUGAGUUCUUGUACUAGCAUAUUCCAGAUGCGAGAGGUAACCGUGGUCAACAAGGGAGAGACGAAUCCGCUGCUUAGUCUUCUUGGGCUGAACCUUCUGUCCUUCUUGGGCUAUCUUUAGGGCUACGACCCAUGUACUUGUUCGCCUUUAUAUCUCUAGGAUUCCAGUAAACGGUUUAACAUGUUUCCUUUAUAUUUUUUGUGGCAUCGCGGUGUGCCUUGGUUUGUAAGGCGUUAUGUUUAAAUUCUAGGACCGCAUUGUUAUAUUAUAAUUGCGUGACGUUUCUUUAAUUACGCGCAUUAAUUUA